GCUUCGUGAACAAUGGCAUAUGAUGUCUGUUCAAAGAUUUUCCUAAUAUGUAGCUGAACUUUCUAUAUCACUGUUUAUUGGAAGGGCCAUUUUCUUAUAUCAAUUUCUUGAAGAUGUACUACUUACAGCUUUCCGGGAAUACAGUUUAUAAUACAUGUACAAAUGAAUUAGAAAAUAAAAAGAAAAUUGCAUGAUUUGGAGCUAAACUUCCUUGAGAUGAUCGUUAUCUGUUAACAACUUGUUAAACUAAAUAUACUUUAGAACAACUAAUAUUCACUCCUUGGUGGAAAUUUUAAGCAUAUUUGCUAUAUCAAUAUUGAUAAUGUAUCCGAGGAGUUACUAUGAAAACUUAGCUCAACAUUGAUCGGGGAGAAUAAGAAUACUGUUGCACUAAUGACUACCAAUUAUACAAUCUAGUAUAAGUUUCUGUCAUUAUCCCAUUUGUGGAUUUCAUUCUCAAUUAAGUGAAUCAUGAUAAUGUUUUCUUAAUUUACAGGUGUUUUGGGCACUCGUGUAUGACAUCAGUGUGUAUGUUGCCUUUAAUUCAGUGAUUAGGGUUUUGUGGAUUUGGAAUGACGGAGGAACUGACUCGAACAAGUAAAAUCAUUUUGAAUCUUUUGACAAAUAGUGGCUGCUUAUUGUCCUAGAUCAGAAGCAGUCAAAUGUGUACAGGUGGUAUUGUCUCCUUGUUGAUGUCUUUUAGUUAGUUUCCUUGAAGUCUUAUUAACUUCUUGCUUUUCAACCACAACCCUUCAUGGUUUUCUGAUUGGUGGAAGAAAGUAGAGAAUGCUGUACAAGGUUCGCACCUCGACGUAUCGAGAGAUACUGAUCUGUCUAGGGUCGUAAAAGGGGUUGCAAGUGUCAUCAAGGAUGGUCAGGGCUCCAAGUCUUCAUACCUGUUAUAUCUGGAUGAGUGGAAGCAACUCAGGCAAACAAUUGAGGAAGUAUGUGUUACUGCUAGAGACUAUGUUGAUGUUUGGACAGAUGCAAGCAAGAAAAUGGGGAAGAGAAGAGUAUUCUCAGAGUUUCUGAAGCUCUUGGACACCGAACAUUGACCUUUUUGAUUAAUGUGCUUUUGGAUUCUAACUAUGCUAUAUUUAAAUGGAUAUGUAUAUUAUGUUUAAGGGUUUGAAUGUAGUUUUAAUUUGAACUACAAGUACUUUUAAUUUUAAGAUGUUUAAGUGUUUGAACAUAGUUUAUGAUGUUUAA